rnacentral:rRNA from 1 species
UGAAUACGAGACGCUAAGGCGUCGAAGUAGUGUAUGUCAUACUUCCAAGAAAAGCUUGCACUGUCAUAGAUAAAAAACGCCUGUACCAUAACCGACACAGGUGGGUAGGUAGAGUAUACUAAGGGGCGCGAGAUAACUCUCUCUAAGGAACUCGGCAAAAUAACUCCGUAACUUCGGGAGAAGGAGUGCCUUAUUCGUAAGGUUGCAAUAACAAGAUCCAAGCAACUGUUUAUCAAAAACACAGGUCUCCGCUAAGUCGUAAGACGAUGUAUGGGGGCUGACGCCUGCCCAGUGCCAGAAGGUUAAAGAAGUUGGUUAGCAAUUGCGAAGCUGAUAACUGAAGCCCUGGUGAACGGCGGCCGUAACGAUAACGGUCCUAAGGUAGCAAAAUUCCUUGUCGGGUAAGUUCCGACCCGCACGAAAGGCGUAAUGAUUUGGAUACUGUCUCGGAGAGGGGCUCGGUGAAAUAGACUUGUCUGUGAAGAUGCGGACUACCUGCACCAGGACAGAAAGACCCUAUGAAGCUUUACUGUAACUUGAAAUUGAAAUUGGACUUUAUUCGCGCAGUAUAGGUGGGAGGCGUUGAUUAUAAUCUUGUGGGAUUAUUGCAGCCAUCAGUGAGAUACCACUCUUGUAAUGUUAGAUUUCUAACUUUGAAUCAUUAUCUGGUCAAAGAACAGUUUCAGGCGGGCAGUUUGACUGGGGCGGUCGCCUCCUAAACGGUAACGGAGGCGUACAAAGGUUUCCUCUGAACGGUUAGAAAUCGUAUCUAGAGUGUAAAGGCAUAAGGAAGCUUGACUGUGAGACCUACAAGUCGAGCAGGGACGAAAGUCGGUCUUAGUGAUCUGACGGUACUGAGUGGAAAGGCCGUCACUCAACGGAUAAAAGUUACUCUAGGAUAACAGGCUGAUCUCCCCCAAGAGUUCACAUCGACGGGGAGGUUUGGCACCUCGAUGUCGGCUCAUCGCAUCCUGGGGCGGUAGUACGUCCCAAGGGUUGGGCUGUUCGCCCAUGAAAGCGGUACGCGAGCUGGGUUCAGAACGUCGUGAGACAGUUCGGUCCAUAUCCGGUGUAGGCGUUAGAAUAUUGAGAGGAGCCUUCUUUAGUACGAGAGGACCGAGAAGGACAUACCUCUGGUGUACCAGUUAUCGUGCCAACGGUAAACGCUGGGUAGCUAUGUAUGGAGUGGAUAACCGCUGAAAGCAUCUAAGUGGGAAGCCCACCUCAAGAUAAGUAUUCUCACC